UUGUCAUGAAUAUUAUGAAGUAACUCACGAACAAGACCAGGGAGAAGGUGAAAAUGCAGCUGGACCUGAAGGCCAGUGCCUCUGAAGAGGAGACACUUUCAGAUCACUACAUCAUCCUCAGGACCCUUGGCAAAGGGAACUUUGCUGAGGUGAAGUUUAAAGCCAAUACUUACUCAGAAAUGAAGGAGGAAAUGCUGGAUCCCAAAUACCACCUCCCUACACACUUUCAGAAAACAUAACAAACAUCAUUGGGCAGUUGUUCACUGUGAAGCCUGAGCAGAGGCCCAAGAUAUAUGAUAUUAGGCAGCAACAGUGGCUCAAUGAGAAGGAAGAAUUUUGGAAAAUCACUCCGUCUUUACAGGCACUCUGUAACAAUCUGAAUUCCAGUGUUUUGGUGGCUAUGUGGAGUAUGAGCUAUGACCCCAAGGACAUUAGGGCUUGUCUACAUGAGAAAAAAUUCAAUAACAUCAUGGCUACAUACCUAACUUUAAACCACAAGUCACCCAGUGACCACUCUAAAUAUGCUUCAAAGUUCUUGAGGGCCUGUGUUGCUGUGUCCCCAGCAGAUACUCUCACUAGUGUUCCUUCUCAGAGGAGACUGAGUGAGAUUGUUCUUCCCACCUUGCUGGAGGAAUAACAGGCAGAUGAUGAGAAGGGAUCAAUGAAGAAGAGGAUGAGAAGCCUGAGCAUGCCUGCCAACAUGUGCUGCCAGCAGAAGGGAAACAAUCGUCCAUCUCCAGAACCCAAAUUUUCCCAUAAGAUUACUUAUGUCAAGAGAAGAUGUUUGGCACUGGAUAGCAUGAUUUGCAAUUGCUCAUCCUCAAGAUCUCUGUCCUCUGGGAGCAUUUCUUCUGCAAAUUGUUUGUCCUGUGAGUCAUCCCAGGAAGUGAGCAUCCCCAACAAUAACUCAUACACUUAGAGUACAGGAAAUUACAGGGAGGUCCCUCACAUUAUGAACACCACUGCCACAUAUGACAUCUGGAGAGAAUCUCUUCUGGCUACAUCCAAGACCAGCUUUGAUAAGUAUCUCCUGAAGGCAUACCUGAAAUCCAGAUUUCUUGCCUUCAGGCAAUAUCAAAGAACAGCUUGGAUGAUGCCCUUCUUGAAGGCAUACCUGAAACCUAGAGAUCUUUCCUUCAGGCAUCAUCAAAGACCAGCUUUGAUGAUGUCCCACCUGAAGACAUAACUGAAAUCCGGAGAACUUCCCUUGAGGAAACUUCCAAGAACAGCACUGCUGAUAUCAUUCCUGAAGGCAUUCCUGAAAUCAGGAAGUCUUCCCUUGAAGAAACAUCCAAGAACAGUUGUGACAAUGUCGCUCCUGAAGGCAUCCCUGAAAUCCAGAGAUCUUCCCUUCAGCAAACAUCUGAGAACAGCUUAGAGCAUGUUCCUGCUGAAGGAAUAUUUGAAAUCCAGAGAUCUUUUCUGGAAGAAACAUCCAAGAUCAUUUGUGAUGAUGUCUCUCCUGAAGACACAACUGAAAUCCGGAGAUCUUCCCUUCAGGCCACAUCUAAGAACAGCUUUGAAGAAGUCCCUCCUGAAGACAUAAAUAUAGCCUCUGUCAGCCCUUUAUCCAGAGGCUGGAAGAGGGUUAAGAAGAGAAUUGGAAAUUGUCUGAGAUUACUAUGCUGCUGCAUGCCGACCUCCAAGAGAAACCAUUUUUCUCAGAAGGAAGUAGAACCAGUGGAAGUGGAGAGCAGUGCAGUCUCACACACAGCUACAGGGGGUAUCCAAGAUGCACUGCUGUGUUUCUUAAUCUAUAUAUUUUCUAAUGUCCUAUGCUACCAUCACAAAUGAUUUAGCUGAAGGUAUACAAUAGAGGAUGAGAGGCAGCAGUUGCAGAGGCAGCAAGAAUUAGUUGAAUAGGAAAGAAUAAAAGGGAUCAAAGGUUUUUUUGGGAAGAAAACUCCAAAGGCUAGGGAAGAGUGUGAGAGGAGGAACCACUUGAAAAUGGAUGGCCCAGAAGGAAAUAAAAGUCAAAUAUAUGAACUAUAUGUUUCAAAUUUAUUCAGACUGUGUUUUGCAUAUGUCAUUAUAUUCUGAAAUGGUAAGUCUCUAUGAAAGUUGAGACAUAGGAUAGGAUUUGCAUGGAGUGACUGAGACAGCUGAAGUGGGAGCCCUGCAGGAAGUCCAGAUGACAGUGUGUCCACUAACCCAGGAGAGAAGUCCAGCACAAGAGAAGGGUCAUUUGGAGAGGAUCUUUUGUGGAGGCUCAUUUUCACCAUGUGCUCAGUCACAUCCUGAAAUAUAUACCAAGGGGAUUCCUGACCAGAGGAUCUGCACAUUCAGUGCUGAUGCCAGUGAUAAAAACCUACCAGGU